AGUGAACGCUGGCGGUAGGCCUAACACAUGCAAGUCGAACGGCAGCACAGUAAGAUCUUGCUCUUACGGGUGGCGAGUGGCGGACGGGUGAGGCAUACAUCGGAAUCUACUUUUUCGUGGGGGAUAACGUAGGGAAACUUACGCUAAUACCGCAUACGACCUACGGGUGAAAGCAGUGGAUCUUCGGACCUUGCGCGAUUGAAUGAGCCGAUGUCGGAUUAGCUAGUUGGCGGGGUAAAGGCCCACCAAGGCGACGAUACGUAGCUGGUCUGAGAGGAUGAUCAGCCACACUGGAACUGAGACACGGUCCAGACUCCUACGGGAGGCAGCAGUGGGGAAUAUUGGACAAUGGGCGCAAGCCUGAUCCAGCCAUACCGCGUGGGUGAAGAAGGCCUUCGGGUCGUAAAGCCCUGUUGUUGGGAAAGAAAAGCAGUAGGUUAAUACCCCGCUGUUCUGACGGUACCCAAAGAAUAAGCACCGGCUAACUUCGUG
rnacentral:rRNA from 1 species